GCAAACUUGGUCAUUUAGAGGAAGUAAAAGUCGUAACAAGGUCUCCGUUGGUGAACCAGCGGAGGGAUCAUUACCGAGUUUACAACUCCCAAACCCCAAUGUGAACGCUACCAAACCGUUGCCUCGGCGGGAUCUCUGCCCCGGGCGCGUCGCAGCCCCGGAUCCCACGGCGCCCGCCGGAGGAAAACCCCCAAAAAAAACCCUUUGCAUGCCCCCUCGCGGGCUCUUCCUGACCUCUGAGCACAAUCUCGGCGCCCCUGACAGGGCGUUCCGAAAAUGAAUCAAAACUUUCAACAACGGAUCUCUUGGUUCUGGCAUCGAUGAAGAACGCAGC
rnacentral:misc_RNA from 1 species